ensembl:misc_RNA Y_RNA Y RNA
GGCUGGUCUGAAGAUAGUAAGUUAUCUCAAUUUACUUUCACAAUCAGUUACAGAUCAAACUCUUUGUUCUAUUCUUUUCCCCCUUCUCACUACUGCACUUGACUAGUCUAAA